GCACUGCUGAAGAGUCCCAUACUAGGACGAAACGGCCGUCCAGUUC
rfam:Schistosoma curassoni strain Dakar, Senegal genome assembly, scaffold: SCTD_scaffold0010940